CGCCUGCCGGCGACCGGCGCACGGGUGAGUAACACGUAUGCAACCUGCCCCUGUCAGGGGGACAACCCGCCGAAAGGCGGGCUAAACCCGCGUACAUGCCACCGGGGCAUCCCGGAGGCAGGAAAGGCUUCGGCCGGACAGGGAUGGGCAUGCGGCGCAUUAGGCAGUAGGCGGGGUAACGGCCCACCUAACCGACGAUGCGUAGGGGUUCUGAGAGGAAGGUCCCCCACACUGGUACUGAGACACGGACCAGACUCCUACGGGAGGCAGCAG
rnacentral:rRNA from 1 species